rnacentral:rRNA from 1 species
GACGAACGCUGGCGGCGUGCUUAACACAUGCAAGUCGAACGGAAAGGCCCUGCUUUUGUGGGGUGCUCGAGUGGCGAACGGGUGAGUAACACGUGAGUAACCUGCCCCUGACUUUGGGAUAACUUCAGGAAACUGGGGCUAAUACCGGAUAGGAGCUCCUGCUGCAUGGUGGGGGUUGGAAAGUUUCGGCGGUUGGGGAUGGACUCGCGGCUUAUCAGCUUGUUGGUGGGGUAGUGGCUUACCAAGGCUUUGACGGGUAGCCGGCCUGAGAGGGUGACCGGCCACAUUGGGACUGAGAUACGGCCCAGACUGCAACGGGAGGCAGCAGUGGGGAAUAUUGCACAAUGGGCGGAAGCCUGAUGCAGCAACGCCGCGUGCGGGAUGACGGCCUUCGGGUUGUAAACCGCUUUCGCCUGUGACGAAGCGUGAGUGACGGUAAUGGGUAAAGAAGCACCGGCUAACUACGUG